GACUUUCUGUUGGGGAUGGCUACUGU
rnacentral:piRNA from 1 species